rnacentral:rRNA from 1 species
ACGGAAGGCAGCAGUGGGGAAUAUUGGACAAUGGGGGAAACCCUGAUCCAGCGACGCCGCGUGAGUGAAGAAGUAUUUCGGUAUGUAAAGCUCUAUCAGCAAGGAAGAAAAUGACGGUACUUGACUAAGAAGCUCCGGCUAAAUACGUGCCAGCAGCCGCGGUAAUACGUAUGGAGCAAGCGUUAUCCGGAUUUACUGGGUGUAAAGGGAGCGUAGACGGUAAAGCAAGUCUGAAGUGAAAUCCCGGGGCUCAACCCCGGAACUGCUUUGGAAACUGUUUAACUAGAGUGCAGUAGAGGUAAGCGGAAUUCCUAGUGUAGCGGUGAAAUGCGUAGAUAUUAGGAGGAACACCAGUGGCGAAGGCGGCUUACUGGACUGUAACUGACGUUGAGGCUCGAAAGCGUGGGGAGCAAACAGGAUUAGAUACCCUGGUA